GACUCCCUUCUCCACCAGCCUUGGCGUCGCCUGUGGCCGCCUGUGCGAACCAGUGCGUGACCCUCAGAGCGGACACGUGCGCCUUAGUCCGGAGACACGCACGCACGAGGAGGGCGCUUUCGGGCCGCCCGAACUAGCAGGUUCUGGGCGGGGCGCCCUCCAGGGUGACCCCGGCCUUGGGGGUCAGCGGGCCUGCGGGCUCGGAGGGGCCCCGGGAUCGCUGCCAUCGCACGGACACCCGUCCACCCCCACCCCCGGAGAGCAGGGGACCCGCCCCUCGCCCGAGGCAGCGUCCUCCCCAGGAGCCCGCCAGGCCCCCUUUGGGCUCUCCUCGGCCAGAGCUUCCAGUCACCGGGGGGAAACGACAGCCACGCAGCGGGCCCAGGCCAAGCAGGAUUCUCUCUGCGCCGGCCCUUGGCCAAGCGCCCAGCCAGUGGACCCCAGGCAGUGGUGGAACCUCUGGGGAGGACGUCCUUCAGGAGCUGGUGCGGGGAAGGAGGGGCCGCCGGACAGCUUCUGAAGGCCGUGGAGGGCCGGAGCCGCCGGUGCGGGGAGGGAAGCCGCAGGGGCAGCGGGGAGCGAGGGCAGGUAGGAACCCGCAAGCACGGACUGGGCCGGUGGCCCUCCUGCAGCAGAAGUCGGUAGCGGUCGUCGGAGAGCCGCAUGCACGCCUGCGGGGAGCUGGAGAAGCUAACAGCCGCGGGGGACGGGGGGCAGCUGCCCACCUGCCUCCCACCACGAGCUGCUGCCACACCUGGGGCUCCAUCCUGACCUUCCAGGUGUAAGAGCGUUGCUGCACCCACCACCCCCACACCACGGCUCACCCCAAACGCCUCUAGUGGCCCAGUUAGGAAAGCCUGUGGGAAAGAGAGAUGGGGUGGCCGCGGGCGGUCAUUGAGGCCAGUCAAGUUGGCACACACAAAACCACCACAGUACCGGGAACUGGUGUCACCGUCAGACGUCCCGGUCACUGGGCAGGCGGCCGAAAGGGGCAGCUAUGAGGGCCACUGAAGAGCUUUACACCAGUUCUAGGGUUAGGUCCACCUUGUGAAAGGUCACUCUCGGCUUCUGCUAGCGCGGUGGCUUGCCAGGUCGUGAGGACCAGCGCUUCCACUCACAAGGGACUGAAGAGUUCCUGAACGGGGGACUCUUCCCUGAAGAAAUCCUUUCUGUACAGGAGCUGAGAGCUCAGCCACUGAGCAAAGCUCCCGACGGACCAAAGACGAAGGGACGAGUCGUUCUUCUGAGAUUGCUACAGAGAGGGAGGGUCUAGUCAGCACCAAGACUUUGGGCUGGGAAGAGGGAACCUGAAAAACACCACGUCCCAGGGAGCCGGACCGCAUUAGGGAGACCUGGGGUGCUCGGUGUGUCUGGCUCCUUGCCAGGACAGAUGUCCGUCCUUUCGAGAGGGGAAGAAAACACCUUCCUCAGUCUCGAGUCAUCUGUGUGUAACGUGCAUCAUACAGAAGGCAACACGUACACAGGAUCAGAUCCCAGGAAGAACAAGGGACGACAGAAGCCGGUCUGCGGGUGGGCCAGAUAACGAGGUUGGCAAGUGUGCACCUUUGAAAUAAAAAUGGAGCCGGCGGAGCCCAGGUCCGUCCUCUCCGUCCUCCUCAAGUGUUGCUGUUGAAGGCAAUCUUCCUUCUCACCUUCCUGCCGUCGCCAUGGGCACCUUGUCCUGGCUCCGAGGCCAGCUGGUGCUCCGGACUGUCGUGCCCCACUUACUGUGGGCAAUUGUAGACUCUUCACUCCUCGGGGACAACAUUCACAGCCACUCGCCCCUUUCUGGGCCCGCACCCCACAGGCCCGACGUCUCCAUCACGCACCCUAUCUUACAUCUCCCUUCCACUCUUGGUAUAGGGAAACGUUGUAGUUCUUAAUAGUUUUCUUUUAAAAAUGAUCUGUUGUGGCUGUGGGUGGAGGGACUCGGGGAAGGGGCUCUGAGUGUGAACAAUGGUGCCUUCUUAUCUGGAGGACGUAAGUGUUUUUCGGACAAAGGACGUAGGAGAAUUUUGCUGUUUCAUUUCUUCCCAUUUAGUUCCUCGGUAUGAAACUGCUGUGAUUACGUCUGAUAGGUUCCCAUUGACUGACAUGCUUCCUCAUCAAAAGAAGAGCAAAAAAUCGGUCUUUUUUAAAAACUGGAAAUCUGCUCUGCAGAAAGUCAGAAACGAAACUGGCGUAUCUAGGUGCGCCUCACAGGUGACACAGCGGCUGAAGUGACUCGGCAGACGACCUCCAGGGCCCUCUCUGGCCGCUGUCUCCGUCUCUGCUCUGCCUGCUGUGCCGUCGUUCUGAAAUGCAGCGGGUGAGACUCAUCCUUCUUCCUUGGAAAGAAGUAGGGUGGCAAAGGGAAGGUGACCUUGGUUUUCGGGUGCUGCCUGCCCCCUGAGAGCGCACUCGGUGCAGGCCGUGGGAUUGUCACAGGAAGGCAAGAGGACUGUGGUGGAAAGGCUGGUUCUCCGGCACCUCAGGAGGGACGUGAGACGACCCCUUGGUGCAUGGUGUGCGGUCCCAUUUCAGGGGUUCUGGUGAGCAGGGACAGCAGCAGCAGGACAGAUGACGCGGUCCUGAUGGAGGGGAUGCCAUGGGUGCAGAAGGGAAGCUUUGCUGUCGGAAUGGGGCUGAAGGCUGUCGUCUGCACAGACUGCACUGUGAUGUUUUAGGGGUUAGGAUGUGGACGUCUUUGGGGCCAUCGUGCCGUCUGCACAGCGGGCACACCUCUUGGAAAGGAGCGGUCCUCCGGCCCACAGCCUGCGGUCAUGAGUGUUGGCGGCGCUGAGGGUGAAGCCCUGGGCUGGGCACACAACAUGCACAAUCAGGAGAAGCGUGGGACAGAAAAAGCCAGCAGGAGGACACCGGCCCGUCCGCAGACCCGAGCCUGGUUUGGAUGCACAGCGUGUGGGUUCAUGGAGAAACCAGGCUCCGAGGAAGAGGGCUGCCCCUCCCCACACUGACAGUGUCCCCCAGUACUUCCCUAGGGCGCUGUGACCCUGUGCACUGGGCUGUUGCAAGGACCGCUGGACACAGGCAGGACCGAUAGUCUGACCUGAAGGUCUGAGGUGUCACCAUGGCCACCCGACUGAGUGAAGUAUGUGGACAUCCGGCACAAAGCCUGGGAAGGACCCCGAGCCCGGGUCAAGGGAAAGCCGUGGAAAGCGUGAACAGUCACUUCCUGCAACAACGCCGGGGAUAAGUCCGCUCAGUAGCUUUUGACAGAAGAAAGCAAAUGGCGGGAGACUGCACACCGCAGGAGCAUCUCUCUACCAGCAGCCCUGGACGGUGAGUGCCUCAGAAGAUGACAGUAUUUGGAGAUGGAGCUGUGAAGAGGGGACUUUCUGGGGCCCUUGAAGCCACACGCUCACCCUCUGAGGGAGGCUCCACCAAUAACGAGCCCCUGGGGCAGGUCCUGAGGUUGAGUUUUAUUUAGUGCCGAUUUCCCCCAAAGAACUGGUGGCCUUUGACCAGGGGAACUAAGCGCCAGCGGGGAGGAAGUCAUCAGACGUUUUGGGACUCUUGGACACCGGCUGUGAAUGGACAUCAAUCCUAGGAGACCCAGAACCUCAACUGGACGCCUCUCUCCAGCCAGUUGUCAUAACUCUGUUUGCUGAGAUCUUGAGCACCUUUCCCUCCCACACGAUCCCACACUGGCCCAUUACAUUGCUGAGGUGAUGCUGCUUGGACCCAGGAACAGGAAGCACGAAUACUCACACUUGUUGACAGUCACAUGUCAGAGGGUGGGAAGUAAAUCUGACCAAAAUCCAAGGGCCUUCUGGGGAAUUUCUAGGGGCUGUGGUAUGGGGCAUGCCAAGAUAUCCCAUCUAAGGUGAAGGUGCAUUGCUCCACCUGCCCCCCCCACAACCAAAAAGAGGCAUGGCACCUAGUUUGGCUUAAUUUUGCGUUAUGAACUUUGACAUUUUCUUAUUAGAUGCAUACACAGAAUUGUGAUGUCUUCUUAAGAAUUGGUCCUUUUGGGGCGCC